UAAAGCUACAAAGAGCUAAUGGGGAAUGCCUUGGUACUGACAGCCGAUGAAGGACGUGUAAAGCUGCGAUAAGCUGCGGGGAACUGCUAAAAGGUCUUGAUCCGCAGAAAUCCGAAUGGGGAAACCCUAUCAAGUUAAAACUUGAUAACUCACAAGUGAAUACAUAGCUUGUGUAGAGGAAAGCCUGUGAACUGAAACAUCUUAGUAACAGGACGAAGAGAAAAUAACCCAAUGAUUCCGAGAGUAGCGGCGAGCGAAAUUGGAAGAGCCUAAAUUGUGUGUACGUGAUAGCCUGCAAGCGUUGUGCACAUGAGGUUGUGGGACUUGCAUCAUAUUUUGCAGAAUAUGGAUUGAGUUAGAAAAUUAUUUAUUAGUUAAAGUCAACUGGGAAGUUGCGCCAUAGAGAGUGAUAGCCUCGUAAACGACAAUAAAUAAUCUCAAGUAAGUAUCCCGAGUAAGGCGGGGCACGUGAAACCCUGUCUGAAUCCACCGGGACCAUCCGGUAAGGCUAAAUACUAGUCAGUGACCGAUAGUGAACGAGUACAGUGAUGGAAAGGCGAAAAGAACAGUGAGAAGCUGAGUGAAAUAGACCCUGAAACCGUUAGCUUACAACCAGUCAGAGCACAAUUAAUUGUGUUAUGGCGUGCCUGUUGAAGAAUGAGCCGGCGAGUUAUUUUUUGUUGCGAGGUUAAGGAGAUCAUAUCCGGAGCCACAGGGAAACCGAGUCUGAAUAGGGCGUUAAGUAACAGGAAAUAGACCCGAACCUUGGUGAUCUAACCUUGACCAGGAUGAAGCGUGGGUAACACUACGUGGAGGUCCGAACCAACCGAUGUUGAAAAAUCGGUGGAUGAGUUGAGGUUAGGGGUGAAAUGCCAAUCGAACCAAGAGCUAGCUGGUUCUCCCCGAAAUGCGUUUAGGCACAGCGUUGGAUUUAUCUUGCAGGAGGUAGAGCACUGGUUUUGUGCGGGCGUCGAAAUGAUGUACCAAACAAUGUCAAACUCCGAAUACCUGUAAUGUCAUUAUCCAGCAGUGAGGCUAUGAGUGAUAAGAUCCAUGGCCAAGAGGGAAACAGCCCAGAACGCCAGUUAAGGUCCCUAAUAUAUGCUAAGUGGUUAAGGAGGUAGAGUUACUGAGACAACCAGGAGGUUGGCUUAGAAGCAGCCAUCCCUUGAAAGAGUGCGUAAUAGCUCACUGGUCAAGUGACUCCGCGCCGAAAAUACACCGGGACUAAAGCAUAUAACCGAAGCUGCGUCAUAUAGUUUACUAUAUGGGUAGGGGAGCGUACUGUAGUAAGACGAAGCUAGAGUGAAAACACUAGUGGAUGAGGCAGUAGUGAGAAUGUCGGCAUAAGUAGCGAAAACAUUGGUGAGAAUCCAAUGCACCGAAAACCUAAGGUUUCCCACGGCAGGCUCGUCCGCGUGGGGUUAGUCGGAUCCUAAGCUCAGGCCAAACGGCGUAGGCGAUGGACAAUAGGUUGAUAUUCCUAUACUAUCUGAUAAUCGUUAUCAGAAGCGGAGGGACGCAAGAGGAUAAGCACGCAGUCGACUGGAAGAGACUGUAUAAGCGUGUAGCUAGGUUUGACAGGAAAAUCCGUCAAAUCGUUAAUGUGAGGCGUGAUGUGGAGAGUCUACGGACUCGAAGGUGUUGACUCCAAAUUGCCAAGAAAAUCUUCGCUCUCGAGAUUAUUGGGUAUCCGUACCGUAAACCGCCACAGGUAGGUUGGUAGAAAAUACUAAGGUGCGCGAGACAACUCUCGCUAAGGAACUCGGCAAAAUCACCUCGUAACUUCGGGAGAAGAGGUACCCUGGUAGCGUGAAGCGAUUUACUCGUGAAGCGUGAUAGGGUCGCAGUGAAUAGGCCCAAGCGACUGUUUACCAAAAACACAGGUCUCUGCUAAGUCGAUCAAGACGAUGUAUAGGGGCUGACGCCUGCCCGGUGUCGGAAGGUUACGCGGAAAUGUUAGAAGCAAUUCAAAGCAUCGAAGCUAAGCCCCGAUGAACGGCGGCCGUAACUAUAACGGUCCUAAGGUAGCGAAAUUCCUUGUCAGGUA
rnacentral:rRNA from 1 species